GUUCUGACAGAAUUCACAAAAGUAGGACUCACCCUCGGGUGUUUCAUCUUAGUAAUUGUAUUUUUUUAAAGCUUUCGAACUGUGUAAAUGGUUACGUCACUCUCACGUGACGGCCAGCAUGCCCUCCUUCGGGACGGGAUGUGUCAAGUUACACUAAAAAAUCCAUCUUCACAAUCAACCAAAUCAAAAUUCGUUUGGCCACAACAUUUUAGUUAAACACUAAAAUUUAACAGCAUUAAUUAAAUGACUCAACUCAAUUCGUUGAUUUUUGGAAGGGCAACAAAAGUGGACUGCAUGGAUACUGGAUUGUUAGGCUAGUAAUUUUGACGUCGACCUAAUUUUUUUUUCUUAUUAAAGGGGGCUAGGAAAGCUUGACAUUUAAGCCUUUUCUAGCCACUAUCGUGCGAUUUACCAGCAUUAAAAAUCAAACAUAGAACCUGCCGUGGUGAAAUAUAGGCCUGAAAUUCGUCUCCAACAACUAAACCACCCCUUGAUGGUUGACAUCGAUCUAAUUUUGGUAAAUACAUAACAAAAUAGGUUUAUCAAACUUGGAAAAUAUGCAGACAUGGGUUUAAUCAAACUAUGGAGCGUAUUAGUUAUUUAAUUUAGUGUAAUAUUUUAUCGCUUGUUAAAAAAAACUUUGGAAAAUAUUGGUUGAUAGACCUCAGACCGUUAAUUCCUUUAAACAGAAUCCAACACCUAGAUCUUUCUAUCCCUGCUCUUAAUUUCUCCCCCUCAUUUUCUUCUACAAAAUCUAAAUCCCAACUCAUUAACUUCUCAAAAAAUAAAAUAAAAUCCCAACUCAUUAAUUUAUAUAGAGAAAAUUGGAGUAAUGGUGUCUGAAGUUUAAGUCAAUUGAAGCUUUGAUACUGAAAUUUAAAAGAGAAGAGCUUGGCUCCUUAAAGUUGAGAAGAACAUCCUCCUCAAAAUACUUUAUUGGAUUUUUCACAAAACUUCGUGUUUAUGAUCGAAACUGUUCAUAUUACAAAUAACUUUGUAAAGGUCAU
rnacentral:lncRNA from 1 species